rnacentral:rRNA from 1 species
GACGAACGCUGGCGGCGUGCUUAACACAUGCAAGUCGAACGGAAAGGCCCUGCUUUUGUGGGGUGCUCGAGUGGCGAACGGGUGAGUAACACGUGAGUAACCUGCCCUUGACUUUGGGAUAACUUCAGGAAACUGGGGCUAAUACCGGAUAGGAGCUCCUGCUGCAUGUUGGGGGUUGGAAAGUUUCGGCGGUUGGGGAUGGACUCGCGGCUUAUCAGCUUGUUGGUGGGGUAGUGGCUUACCAAGGCUUUGACGGGUAGCCGGCCUGAGAGGGUGACCGGCCACAUUGGGACUGAGAUACGGCCCAGACUCCUACGGGAGGCAGCAGUGGGGAAUAUUGCACAAUGGGCGGAAGCCUGAUGCAGCAACGCCGGGUGCGGGAUGACGGCCUUCGGGUUGUAAACCGCUUUCGCCUGUGACGAAGCGUGAGUGACGGUAAUGGGUAAAGAAGCACCGGCUAACUACGUG